GCCGCGGCAACGGGACGCGGAGCGUGGAGGAGGCGGUGGCGGGUCCGGCCCGGCCAUGUCGCGAAUCCUCUGCGAGUGGCUGAACGAGGAGGUGAAGCUCUCCCGGCGCGUCGUUCCAGGAUCAUUUCCAGAAGAAUUUUCUAAUGGCUACCUCCUAGGAGAACUUCUACACAAAUAUGGUCUUCAGGAUGACUUUAAACAAUUUUCACAGAGCAGGGUUGCAGAUGCAAAAGUUAACAAUUUUUCUCGCCUGGAACCUACACUUCACCUCCUUGGUGUGCCGUUUAAUGAGAGUGUGGCCCAAGACAUCAUGACAGGACAGCAUGGGGCUGCAACAAAGCUUUUAUAUGAAUUGUAUAUUGCUUUAGAAAAAAAGAGAAAGGCAAAGCACCCUGGAGUAGUCAUGGAAGCAAUAAGACCUGCCGCAACUACAAAUCUUAAGUCUAUUGAGAGUGUUUUGUAUCCGGAGCGUUUGAAAACUUUAGUGCCACGUCAGGCUGAUUUGCAGCUACAGCAGAUUUCGGAGCGUUUUGAAGCAAAAUCCAAGGCAGUAGCAGAUAAAAUAGCUCGUACACAUUUUGCAGAGCAGCAGAGAGCUCAGAAGCUCCGAGAAGAGCAAAGAGCUCAAGACAUUGAAAAGGAUCACAUAGGAAGAAGGAGACAAAGUGAAGUAGCGCACAGGAUUCAACCAGCUGUUUUAAAGGUUCCAAAGCCUCCACCGAGACCCAUCAUAAAAGCUAUUGAAGCUAAAAAAUUGUUAAAGAAAAGAGAAGCAGAGAAUGUAUACAAGGAAAUAGACAAGUUUGAGAAGUCUAUGACAGGAAAUGCCUUUGAAUUACACAGCCAGGUGACCGACAGUGAUAUGCAAGAAUCAUUGCAAACACAGAAAUUGCAAGAAACAACUCAAGAAACUAUUCAAGAAACUACAGCACAGACAAAAACUGAGCUGUUAGGUGUUUAUUCAGAUGGUGAAUAUAUAAGGAAAAUUCAAAAACGUGUAGAGGAAGAUACAUUUGCUAGAGAACAACGAGCAAAGAGACGACGAAAAAUGCUAAUGGAUCAGUUACUAGCACAUGAAUCUGAAGAGAAGGCUUACCGGGAGGAGCAGCUUGUUUACAGACUAAUGAAACAAUCUCAGCACGAGCGGAGGAUUGCUGCUCAACUCAUGCAUGUUCGACAUGAAAAAGAGGUGUUAAGGCAAAACAGAAUUUUUAGGGAAAAACAAUAUGAAGAAAGACGGCAAAAAGAGUUCCAGGAAGCUCUUGACAGAGAAGCGGCUCUUGCAAAACAAGAAAACAUUGAUAAUGAAGAACAAAUAAUGAAAGAGAGAGAACAACAUGAGAAAAUUGCUGCUGAAAGAGCUCAGGCCCGCUAUAAAAAACAUUAUUCUAUGUGUUGGGAAGUGAUGGGCCAAAUCAUUGAUAUGUCGACAAAAGUGGGAGAAUAUCGCCACAUGACAAAGAACCGAGUUCCAUUAAAACUGAUGCUGGAUUGGAAGGAAUUUUUUUUAAAUGGAAAACCAAUAUAUGAACAAGCCUCAAUUCAACCUUUGCCAAAUGAACCUGGCCCAGAACAACUUGUAGAGAUGAAUAAAAUGAGUCUGUUAGAUGAAAAAGAUUAUGGUGAAUACAAGAGUAUGACAGGGGAAUGGAGUCCAACUGAAGAGAACAGUGAAAACAAACCUCCUCCUAAUAAUAACAUAUUGGGUCAUGUGCUUCGUAGACUGAUGGAGUUGUUCUAUCCUCCACAACCCAAACCUUCACCACGUGUACUUACUUCAUUUCCUAUCAAGGGAUGUAUUUUGGGAAAAAUUUUUAGUGGAAAAACUACCUGUGCAAAGUUUAUUGAAAAAGUUUGCAAUAUUCAGGUACUAUCUGUCGAUACUCUGGUUUGGGAGGCCAUCCAGUCUUUUCUUAAAAAUGAAAUGAAAAGUGAACAUGAUAUAAUUCCACAUGAAAAGAGUUCUGGAGAACAAAAUAAGAACAGUCAAGAGGGUCUAUCCAAGCUGUCUGUACGUGCCCAGCUUGGCGCCGCAUCGCAGAAAUGGUUGAAGAAAGGAAAAAGUAUUCCCGAUGAACUACUAAUUGACCUCUUGUUGGAAGCCAUUAACCAAAUACCACCGGAGAAGGGGUGGUUUGUGGAAGGGUUUCCAAUGACAAUUAAUCAGGCAAAGCUAUUUGACAAAGCCUAUACAGGGAAUGAUCCAGAGGAAAAAGAUGCAAGUCCUGGAAGGCUCUCACUUGUUAUUGAUCCCAGAGCCCCUAACGAGCCUCCUGUUAUUUCACCUGCAUUUGAUGUUUCUGUAUUAUUGGAUAUUUCAGACACUGUGGUACUGAAACGUGCAGCUAACAUGAAGUUAGAUAAAUCAAAGUCAUCUGAAACUGAACAGGAGAACGGUGAUCAAAAUUCAGAUCCUGAAAUCCUAGAAGAGAAGAUUGACUUGGACAAGGACCAGGUCCUACAUAGAAUUUCAGGCUUUCUAGACACAUGGCCAAAAUUGGAGAAAUGGUUUUCAGUCCAUCAAAAUAUUCUAGUGAGUGUAAAUGCAGAGACAGAAGAAAGUCAUGUGUGUGAAACAGUGAAGGAAAUUAUAAUAGAAGAAAUUGCGAAAAAACAGAAUAGAAGGUCUACUCAAGAAAUAGCACCAGCAGAAGAAAAGCCUUUACCAGAUACGGAAGAAAAGCCUUUACCUGAUACCGAAGAAAAGCCUUUACCAGGUACCGAAGAAAAGCCUUUACCAGGUACAGAAGAAAAGCCUUUACCAUGUACAGAUGAUCUGCUUCCUCCCUCUCCUGAGACACCACCACCACCAGUAGAACCAGGAUCAGAUGAAUGGAUUUAUGUAGAUGAACCACUUCCCCAGGAGAUAAUUGAUUUUUUAGUACCUUACUGGGAAAUGAUAGAAAAUGCAUAUAUAAAUACCAUCAAAACUAUACUUAGAUGCCUAAGGGAUGAACAGUACACAAUGAUUCAUUACAUAGCAGAUAUUAGAGAAAAUUUCCAAGAUUAUUUGAAACGUCCAGAUCUUAAGCAGGAGUUUGUAUCUCAGUGGCAAAGAGACUUUAAUUCAAUUUCUGAUGACCUGCGAGAUGAUGAGGAAACAAAAGCUGAACUACACCAAAGAGUUACUGACCUAAGAGAUCUUCUCUGGGAUAUCUGUGACAGCAGAAGGGAAGAAGCAGAGCAGGAACGUGUUGAUAUCAUGAAUAAAGGCUGGUUGCCAGAUCACAGGGGAAUUGCAAUGAACCAUUUCUUUUCACUUAUGCAGGUUGAAGUGGAUCGUUUCCAAGAUACAAAGAGAAUUCUUCAUGACUACUAUAGGUCGAUGGAAGGAAAAAUCCCAACAGAAGACAGUAAAGAUUUUACUAGAAUCCCAUUGUUAGAUAUUUUUGAUGUAAAGCAGAAGGAAGAUGUAGAGCAGAAGGAAGAUGAAGACAAAUCAAGAAGGAUUCCUCUGGUUUCUUGGAAGCUGUUUUCACCAGAAAUUAAUACUGAGACAGAAAACAAUGAAACUCUGCAGGCAAGUCCUAACGUUGAGAAUUCUGCAAAUGGACGGGCUACUUACAGGAAUGAUAAAAGGCUUAUUAUUUAUACAUGGCAAAAAGCAGUAACAGCUGUAUCAAAUAUGGUAACAGCUGAAAUAGAGUUUAGAGAAAUGGAGGAUGAAGACCAGCAGCAGCAAAAACUGAAAGAAGAUCCGAAACGCUCAGGCAAAGCUGCUGGGAAAGAUGUCAGAAAGCCUUCUACCAAAUCACUUCCUAAGAAGAAAGGAUCACGGAAGAAAGUCAGUGUAAUUACUUUAGACCCAGAAGAAUUAAAGAAACAAGAACUGGCACUUAAAAUAAAACAAGAACAUCUGAGUGCCUUGAAACAUGAGGAGGCAGCCACAAAAUCUCGACUAGAACUUAUAAAAGAAAAAGCUUUAGCAUUUCUUGAAGACCUAAAAAUGAAAGCAGAAGAGGCUUACAGAGAUAUGGAAAAGUGGCUUGGAUCCACCUUCCUGGCAGAAAUGGCCAGUGUUGAAAAGUUGGUUGAGGCUGCACGAUAUCAUGUUGAGAGUUCUAGCAAAAUCCAAUAUGAAAUGACUUUAGAAGAAACAGAUUUCUUCAUCAAUGGUGAUGUAAAAAUGUUUCCUGACCCUGUUCCUGACCCUGUUCCUACACUAGAAGUUCCACGCAUAAAAACCUCUAGAAGUACUCUAACUAUUUCACAACUUACUAAGCUUCAUAAGCAGUUUCUACAGGUGGCACCUAAAGCCAUAAGAGCACUGAAGCAAUUCAAAAGCAAGAGUAAUUCUUCUAGCAAGAGAGAAGUUGAUGAUGGAGGGAAAGAGAAGAAAGAUUUGGAACAUCAGAAAAGAAAGAGAAAUCGUCAAUUUCCAAAAAUAUGGCUAACAAAAUACUCCUGGUUAAAAUAUGAUGAUGAAAGGGGAAUAAUGUUUUGUGUACCGUGUCGUAAACAUAAUGUGGAUUUGGGGGAAAACAUUCAUAAUUUUUGUUCUGGCACUGAUGAUUUCAAACUUGAAUUUAUAAACACACACCAGAGUAGUGAAGCUCAUGCCUGGGCUACCUGCAUGGAAGCUGCCAGUACUGCUUCACCAGACACAGCUUCUGCUGAGCAGGUGUUGAAGAGCAUGAACUCCUUAACAUUAGGGAGAGUAGAAAAUAUUUUUAGAACAUACCAUGCUAUGGCUAAAUCUGGUUCUCCCCUUGUAGAUCUUGAUGAAAUUUACAAACCAGAUAAGCUUUAACAUGACCCUUCACAGUUUUUCUCAGACUUAUCCUUCUGAAGACUUCUCUACAGAGGCAGAACAGAUCCAUUGCUGAUUCUUAAUUGGACAAAUCAGUCUUCCCAUAACAAGUACUCUUACAGCCAGGAUAUGACCAAUAUACUUCACAGCUUGAACCACUUUUCUUUCUCCCCUGUAAAAAUAUUUUUGAAAGUUGUAAUAAGAAUGCUUUAUCUUGAUUUUUUGUCUAGGAGCUGAGAAUAAGUAUAGUUCAGAGAAGUAUCUGAUUUCAUAUUUUCAUAAUUCUACAUAUUCUAAAUGCAACUUUCUACUUGAUAAUUUCCAAUCAAGGUAAAGCAUACCAGCAGAAUAUAUUUUUACCAUCAAAGAAAUAGCAAUGAUUCGUAUCAAAAGAUAGCUAAAAUUAAAUCAUUAAUGACCCCUCUUGCUUCUUCCAACAGUAAUGAAGAUGUACUAGAGAUAAUUUGGGAGAAAUGAAUGUGAGAUCAUUCACCUUUAAAUCAACCCAUUUUCUGAAUCCAGAUCAACUCUUUACUUUUGGAGUAAAAUGUGUGUAAUAAUAGCAGAAACUGCACAAUACAGUUCCAUACCAUACUAUAUCGUGUAACUCUACCCUAUAUACACACACAUAUACACACACAUAUAUAUAUAUUUUUGGUGUUUUGCAUAUAUCUAGGUCUAAACAGUUUGUCAGAAAUGGAGUAAGUUUUGAAUGAGUGCCUCCUGAAGGGAUUUUAGUCCAGAGUUAGUCUGUAGGGUCAGAAAAAGGAUCAGUACUGUGCACUAUACAGUGGAUUAUAGAAGAUCCAUCACUGAAAUAUGUUAAUCUGUGAUUUCUCAGACCAAAAAAAAAAAAAAAGAAGUUUAGAUAUAUUUUACCUAAGAAGCAACAGGAUAUAUAUUAUACAAGGUACCUUUUUACAUAUGUGGCAUUGCUGAUGCUAAGGGUUUGCUCUUAAAUCACAUAAUGCCAAGAGGAUUUUUUCCCCUCUUUAGUUUUCAAAUGGGAAAUUUUUAACUAUGUUGAGAUUAGAAAAAUAUGUUGAAAGUGUGUUCCCAGAAUGUCCAGCAGCUGAAGACAAAAAAAAAGAAAUAAAAACUGAAAGUAUAUUUAGAAUCUAUAAUGCUGAAAUCACUUCCAUGAUGCAGGGGGGCAUGUUUUCUCAUAAUCUUCCUUUCAUCCAUGAAACUAGGAGAAUUCCUUCAACCUUGCCUCUCAGGACAUGUUUUCUAAGCCUGUGAUGAUUCUUGCUGCUUUCUUCUGGGCAGUCUUUAGUUUAUGUACAUCCUUCUAGAUCUGCAAAUUCCAAAAUUGUAUACUAGCAGAAGCUUUAACAGCUGGGAGAAAAAAAAAAAGAAUUAUUUCCAAUGUCUUUAUGUGUACUUUCUGGUAAUAUUGUGAUCUGCGGUAGUCCCUAGAUACUUUUCUAUACAAAUUUUACUUUAUCAGUAAGAUUCCCAUUGUGCCGUUUAUGCAGUUCAUUGUUUCAGCCCAGUGGGACACUUGACAUUAAUCCUUAUUGGAUAGUGUCCUUUUAUUCUAGACUGUAUCUCCAAUAUGUAAAGCUCACUUUGAAUUCUAAUCCUAUUCUCCAGUGUGCUUAAAAUUCCUUCCUGAAUUGUUUUCUCUGUAAUGUAAUAAAUGCAUCAGUUUGUCAGUCUGUUUCCUCAAAGUACUUUGAUCUGUUUCUGGUGAAAUUUACUUACUGAUCUUGAUCAUCUCUCGAGUUUUUCAAAAUCUUCAUGAAUACUGUUUCUUUUUCCACAGUGCUUUCUACCUCUUCUAAUUAAAAAUGUUUCUGGACAUUUAAUAAUUUAAUUCUCUAUUUAUUCUCCUACAUUAUUCAACUAAAACUUACUGGGUUUGGUUUCUUUUAUUUUGGACUUAGCAAAAAGAUUUUAUAAAGAGCAUACCUGUUUUGAAACGAGUCCUGUUACGUGGACAAAGGCAAUUCUGGGAAUUGUUUUCCUUGUUCUUUCCUAGAAGACAUUAUUUACUUUUACCACUUACAGAGUGCCAUUUGCAGACACCGGUAUUCUUUUCUCGGUACCAUCUGUGUAGCUGCCCACUCUCAGCAUCUCUCUGUGAUUACAAAGCAUUAGCAGCUCUUGAACUAAAAUGGUGAAUCACCUUUUGUCUCGGAUUAUAAUCAGAUAUUCAAAAAUGAUUCCGUGCUCUGUAAUAUAUACCCAAAAACAUUAAACCUAGACAAAAUACCUGAAAACACAAUGAGGAAAGUAUUUCUUAUCUUUUUUUACAUGUUUAUGAGGCAUUUCCUCUGUCUCUCUGAGACUUCCUCAUCAUUCCUCCUACAUAUGUCAGUAGGAGGAAUUAAAUCACAGUCCAUUUGAAAUUUUUGAACUAUUAUAACUUUGGAAUUAUCCCACAUCAGAUGUUUCAGGAGGAGGUAAUAAAGUAAAAGAAAUUGCCUUACAGCACGUCAGCAAUUCUGUAAUUAAUAGAUAGAAAAUCACUUAGCUCUGACUGAAAGAGGAUGUGUUUCUUCACAUUUACCACACAGGAAGAAAAGUGGGUAGAUACUGCAGAUCACCUGGCAGAGCUUAAAUAUCUCACAGUAAUUCAUGUUUGCCAGAAUAUUUACCUGAAAACUGCAUUCUAGCAUUUUCUAUUCCAAUCUAAGUUCUGUGAUUGUGAGUAACAUUUUAGAUUGCAAUCCCAUUUCGGACAUUAGUUUUGAUGCAAGUUCUUAAAAUUCCUUGUCCCUCAAAUACCUUUUACAUAUGUUUCUAAAGUCCUGUAGCCUCAUAAAAAAAUUAGAUGAGGAUCUUAGUAUCCUUUUAGAAUUUUAUGCAGAAAAACAAAAUUCAAUUUCAUUUCAGGAAACCAUAAGCUCAUAGGAAAUACAGGAGCUACAUUCUUUAUUGUCAUAGAGGGAAAUCAUAUUAGGAGUUGAACUGUUUUAAACAUAAAAUAAUGUGAGAAAAGUUAGAUUGCCAGUGAUCAGAUGUGGAAAGGCAAAUUUCAGCAAAAAAUGCAAUAAAAAUUAUCAUAGCUGCUCUCUUCAUGGUAAAGCACUAGGAAAAAAUGAGACUGAAAGAAGAUGUAAAACUUUUUCCUGUUGUUUUUUAUAUGAAGUGUACACUGGCUCCUUCAUGGACCAUAGACUAUUCUCCCCAUGAACCACUAAAAUGUUAUGUGGUUUACUGAAUUACUUAUGAAGUCACCCUGUAAUGAUGCCUUUGUUAUGCAGGCUUUAUUGUGCCAUAUGGAAAUUAUCUGAUUCUUGUAGCAUGAAGUUUUCAUCAGAAAACAAAUUUCUGGUUACCUUAAAAUUAUUACAUCAGCAAUCCAGAGUGCUUCAGUAAACAGCAAAGGGUUUAUCACAUGGUUUUUUAGAUAUUCUUUCUCAAUGUCAAUAACUCAAAAACUUUCACAAGGUGACAUCAGAGCACUGUUACCAGUCUGCCAGUAUUUUUUCCCCAGCUUUUGCUUUCAUGCUGAAAUUUCUGGUAGGAUAUAUGGCUUCAAGUCCUUCCUUCUUCCUCUCCCAACAGAAUUUACGCUUCCCAAGUAUGUUUUUUGCCUCUUCUCUCCAAACUUAUAUAUGUGUAGGAUUCCUCUGCUGUACUAAGAUGUGCUGAGGGCAUUAAUCCUGUGUUUCCUGAUUGGACAUAAACAGAGACUGUAGACUAUCAAUUCAAAUUGGCUACUGGAUUUUGAAUACUGACAUUAUGAAACUAAUAUUCAAACAUUCUUAAUUUUUCUACCACUUACAUCUUUUUUCAUAAAGUUACAUUUCACUCCACUGUUUUGCUUCCAACAAAAAUGUCUCUUAGCCCUAAAAUGUGCACAGCUGUGCUUUUUCAAAAGGACAAGACUUUCGACUGGAAAAAGAAAAAAAAUAAGUUCUAUACGAAAGAAAGAAUUUAUUGACAUUUUUAGUCGCUUGGUUAA